GGUAACACGAGUUCGAUGAUUUAUCGACCGAAAACAUGCAACAAUCUUAGUUCAAAAGGUAGCUAUAAUGCACAUGUAAAUCAAAAAUGCAAAAUGGGUAACACGAGUUUGAUGAUUUAUCAACCGAAAACAUGUAGCGUUCUUAUUGGUUCAAAA